UUCCGGUUGAUCCUGCCGGAGGCCAUUGCUAUCGGAGUCCGAUUUAGCCAUGCUAGUCGAGCGAGGUUAGCCCUCGCGGCGAACAGCUCAGUGACACGUGUCCAAGCUACCCUGCAGAGGGGGACAGCGUCGGGAAACUGACGGGAAUCCCCCAUACCGGUCUCACGCUGGAAUGCCGAGACCGACAAACGCUCCGGCGCUGCAGGAUGCGGCUGCGGCCGAUUAGGUAGUCGGUGGGGUAACGGCCCACCGAGCCGAUAAUUGGUACGGGGUGUGAGAGCACGAGCCCGGAGACGGAAUCUGAGACAAGAUUCCGGGCCCUACGGGGCGCAGCAGGCGCGAAACCUUUACACUGCACGAACGUGCGAUAAGGGGACUCCGAGUGCGAGGGCAUACAGUCCUCGCUAUUGUGUACCGUAGGGUGGUACACGACCAAGAGCUGGGCAAGACCGGUGCCAGCCGCCGCGGUAAUACCGGCAGCUCGAGUGAUGGCCGAUUUUAUUGGGCCUAAAGCGUCCGUAGCUGGCCCUGCAAGUCCGUCGGGAAAUCCACUCGCCUAACGAGUGGGCGUCCGGCGGAAACUACAGGGCUUGGGACCGGAAGACUUGAGGGGUACGUCUGGGGUAGGAGUGAAAUCCUGUAAUCCUGGACGGACCGCCGAUAGCGAAAGCACCUCAAGACGACGGAUCCGACAGUGAGGGACGAAAGCUAGGGUCUCGAACCGGAUUAGAUACCCGGGUAGUCCUAGCUGUAAACGAUGUUCGCUAGAUGUGGCACAGGCUACGUGCCUGUGCUGUGUCGUAGGGAAGCCGAGAAGCGAACCGCCUGGGAAGUACGUCCGCAAGGAUGAAACUUAAAGGAAUUGGCGGGGGAGCACUACAACCGGAGGAGCCUGCGGUUUAAUUGGAUUCAACGCCGG
rnacentral:rRNA from 1 species